rnacentral:rRNA from 1 species
AGAGUUUGAUCAUGGCUCAGAAUCAACGCUGGCGGCGUGCCUAACACAUGCAAGUCGAACGCGAAAGUGGAGCAAUCCAUGAGUAGAGUGGCAAACGGGUGAGUAACGCGUGGGCGACCUGCCUUCGAGUGGGGGAUAACAUUCCGAAAGGAGUGCUAAUACCGCAUGACAUCCUUCGUUUAGAUGCGAGGAGAUCAAAG